UGCAGCUAGGGGUUGCCCACGCGGUCGUGGCAGGCUCUAACAGGCUGCAGAGAUGAGGGAAGCAGGCAGGAAGCUCAGAAGAAAGCCAAUCGAUGACCCUUAGAAGGAGGAUGGCUGCUUUUAGACUCACCACUUCCAACUUACAACCCAAGAUAGUAUGUUCACUGAAGAAGCAAAGAUACUGCAUUUGACCAACUAGGCACCCAGGAAGUGAAUGAAUAGUCAUGCAAGUAAAACAUCAAAGACUUGAAAAAUUCUUCUAGGGGUUUUCUGUUCAGAGGUCCAAUCUUUAGGAUGUAAAAAUUAAGUAAAUAAGAAAAUUAUGUUUAAAUCUUUUAAAAUAUUUUGUAAAUUCCCAUUAAAGAUACUGUAUCUAGGGGAGUAUAUAUCAUAUCUUGCCAUCUAUGUGAAAUAAUGGGAUGGAAAGCCAUAUGUGUUUGCUUAUAUAUGAUGGACUGUUUCUGGAAUGAUUCAGAAGAAAUUGGUAACUGGGUGACACCAGGAAGAAGAACUUAGUGUGAAUCGGGAAUCAGAGGAAACUAUUUCACUGGGUGCUCUUUGGCCCUUUUGAAUUUUGAACUACAAAUGUAUUGAUUAGCUCUUCACAGUAAAAAUAAAGAAAAUUAAAACUUCAA
rnacentral:lncRNA from 1 species